AAACCAAGAAGGUUAAGUUAUAUAUUUUUGGUUAAAAGACAGUUAGAUAAAACCAACUAAAGCUUAUUUAAUUAUUGUUUGGAAGUAAAAUUCGUAGACAAUAUAGAAAUUUAAUCAUGGCUAAAAAAUCGAAGCUGUGACACCCUCGAGGGAAACUGGGAUUAGAUACCCCAUUAUUCUUGGAGGUAAAAAGGCGAAAGCUUACCAGAGUACUACGGAUUUGUUUCAUUUAAAACUCAAAGAGCUUGGCGGUGUUUUAGACUCUUUAGGGGAACCUGUCUCAUAAUCGACAAUCCACGAUAAACCUGACCUUUAUUUGCUAUCAGUUUGUAUACCGUCGUCGUCAGGUAACUUUUUAGAAAGUAGAAGUUAGCAAGAGAGAAAUGAUAAUCUCCUACGUCAGAUCAAGGUGCAGCCAACAUAAAGGAGAGGAUGGGUUACAAUUAUAAAAGUUAUAACAACGAAAUAAUAACUUGAAAAGUUAUAAAGAAGGAGGACUUGAAAGUAAAACAGAUUAUAUAAACAUCUUGAAUUGAGCUCUGAAACGUGC
rnacentral:rRNA from 1 species